rnacentral:rRNA from 1 species
GCGCACCAGUCGAGAAACUUUACAAUGUGCGAAAGCACGAUAAGGGAACUCUGAGUGCCUCCUAAGGAGGCUGUUCAGGUGUCUAAAAAGCACCUGGAGUAAGGGCUGGGUAAGACCGGUGCCAGCCGCCGCGGUAACACCGGCAGCCCAGGUGGUAGCCACUUUUAUUGGGUCUAAAGCGUCCGUAGCCGGUUGAGUAAGUUCCUUGGGAAAUUUGGCUGCUCAACAGUCAAGCUUCCAGGGAAUACUGCUCGACUUGGGACUGGGAGAGGUCAGAGGUACUCCAGGGGUAGGGGUGAAAUCCAUUAAUCCCUGGGGGACCACCGGUAGCGAAGGCGUCUGACCAGACCAGGUCCGACGGUGAGGGACGAAGGCUAGGGUCGCGAACCGGAUUAGAUACCCCCGUAGU